AUCUGAUGACUCAUCAGUCACCGUGGGCGUCUCCGGAUGGAACCCUGAACAUUUAUUCAGAGGGUGCUUUUGCCAGUUUCUGAACGACUCCUAAUGGCAUUUGAGGGGGAGAGGAUAAGCCAAGGGAAGAGGAAAAUCAAAAUGCUUUCAGCAGCACGGCUUCCGCAUGCUGGAGAGGUGGUGUAUGGGGUUGCGGCUUGGCCUGUUUUCUGAAACCUGCAAGGUAGCACCCUGAAGGUAGCUUGUAACCCUCCACUCUCACACCAAGGAAGCAGACCACAGCCCAAUACCGUGUGGUGCAACUGUGAAGUCCAGAACUGCUGGAUUUUCUGAAAUCAAAUGAGGACGAUGCCGGAGAAUUACUUCCAUCUCAUGAGGAGUCACUAAUUGGGAUCUUGAGUGAGUUAGCUCGGUUCUCAGCCAAAGAGAUGAUCCAUAGGCAGGAGGCAUGAUGGGAGUUUCCAAAAGUGGACCUUUUGAAGAACAAAGAAUCAAGAGAGACCCUUGGGAUAGCUGAUGAAGGCCUUGAACCUUUUUGCCAAAAUGACCCUGUUUAUGAUGGUGUGUGAAAGUCAAGGGUGAAUUGGAGGCUGUUGUGUCUCUAGAUGAUUUGGUCGGGGAAAAGAAAAGCUUUGAACUCCCAACCAAACUUGUCAGCACUUUGUUACUGCUAAGAGUGGUGCACAGUUGCACUUAGAAACUCCAUUUUCUUAAAUAUGAAAUGACUUAUUUUUUCCCCAGCUUCAUUGAAGUAUGGUUCAACAGAAAAAUUGUAUAUAUUUGAGCUAUACAAUGUUUGAUGUAUGUAUACAUUGUGAAAUAAUUAGGACAAUCAAGCUAAUUGACAUAUCCAUCACCUCACAUAGUUACCAUUUUGUGUGUGGUAAGAACACUUGAUAUUUAUUCUCUUAGCAAAUGUAUACAAUACAGUAUUAUUAACUACAGUCAUCAUUCUGUAUAUUAGAUCUCCAGAACUUAUUCAUCCUUCAUAACUGAAACUGUACCCUUUGACCAACAUCCCAUUUACUCCGUGUCCCAGCCCUUGGCAGCCACCAUUCUACUCUGUUUCUUUUUGAGAUGGAGUCUUGCUCUGUUGCUGAGGCUGGAGUGCAGUGGUGCCAUCUUGGCUCACUGCAACCUCUGCCUCCUGGGUUCAAGCAAUUCUCU
rnacentral:lncRNA from 1 species